rnacentral:rRNA from 1 species
UGCUAGUCGCACGGGUUCAGACCCGUGGCAGAUAGCUCAGUAACACGUGGCCAAACUACCCUGUGGACUGGAAUAACCUCGGGAAACUGAGGCUAAUUCCGGAUAGCACCCGCAUCCUGGAGUGGAGCGGGUGUGAAAUGCUCCGGCGCCACAGGAUGUGGCUGCGGCCGAUUAGGUAGACGGUGGGGUAACGGCCCACCGUGCCCAUAAUCGGUACGGGUGAUGAGAGUCAGAGCCCGGAGACGGUAUCUGAGACAAGAUACCGGGCCCUACGGGGCGCAGCAGGCGCGAAACCUUUACACUGCACGAUAGUGCGAUAGGGGGACCCCGAGUGCGAGGGCAUACAGUCCUCGCUUUUCACCACCGUAAGGUGGUGGUGGAAUAAGUGCUGGGCAAGACCGGUGCCAGCCGCCGCGGUAAUAUCGGCAGCACGAGUGAUGGCCGAUCUUAUUGGGCCUAAAGCGUCCGUAGCCGGCCAGACAGGUCCAUCGGGAAAUCUGCACGCCCAACGUGCAGGCGUCC